rnacentral:rRNA from 1 species
UGGGGAAUUUUGGACAAUGGGCGAAAGCCUGAUCCAGCAAUGCCGCGUGUGUGAAGAAGGCCUUCGGGUUGUAAAGCACUUUUGUCCGGAAAGAAAUCCUUGGCUCUAAUACAGUCGGGGGAUGACGGUACCGGAAGAAUAAGCACCGGCUAACUACGUGCCAGCAGCCGCGGUAAUACGUAGGGUGCAAGCGUUAAUCGGAAUUACUGGGCGUAAAGCGUGCGCAGGCGGUUUGCUAAGACCGACGUGAAAUCCCCGGGCUCAACCUGGGAACUGCAUUGGUGACUGGCAGGCUAGAGUAUGGCAGAGGGGGGUAGAAUUCCACGUGUAGCAGUGAAAUGCGUAGAGAUGUGGAGGAAUACCGAUGGCGAAGGCAGCCCCCUGGGCCAAUACUGACGCUCAUGCACGAAAGCGUGGGGAGCAAACAGGAUUAGAUACCCUGGUAGUCCACGCCCUAAACGAUGUCAACUAGUUGUUGGGGAUUCAUUUCCUAGUAACGUAGCUAACGCGUGAAGUUGACCGCCU